CUGGAUAGGAGGGUCCCGCGGGCCGGAUGUGGCCUGCGGGCCAUAGUUUGCCCACCUCUGUUCUAAGCUGUAAAACCAGAGUGCCCAAGCUGGAACUAACAAGCAGUCACCUUCCCUGUGUCUGCUUUAGGUAGCAUACUCCUGCCCCAAUUGAAGGCAAUAGGAGCUUUGCUAAGGACUUCCAUAAGAGCAGGAUUGCACCUCAAAGGAGUCCCUGUACAAGAAGGGCCCCAUGUGCUAGUGCUUUUUGUUAGCUAACAUUGUCCCUCUUUAAAAAAAAAAAAUCGAGGGUCAUUUCCUGUGGAAAAAAUUCAAUCGUUGGAAAUUACUGCUCACUUCUACAAAUGGGAUUCUUUUCACAAAAUUGCCCUUCUCUUGAUUAAAUCAAAAGCUUUUGGAGCACCAGAUCUAUCUUCAGUGUUUACUAUUUUAUACUCUAAUAAAGAUUUAAUGUUGCAGGUGACACUCUGGUGAGGAGAGAAGAAAUUCUUUCCCGCAUACAGUGAGUGCUGAAUAGCUCAAUGAUUCUCAAAAAUUGUCCCUGUGGAACAUAAAUGGAUGAAACCAAUACUCCAGGAUUAGAAAUGACAUGCAUUUCCAUGGAAAUUACUCUAAAACCUUAUUGCAGAAAAUAGAGAUUGAAAUCCUUUUGUAAAAUUUUAAACCGAUGGAAUUUAACAGAGACAUAUACACCUGCCACAGAAUUCCACAUGUUGUAUUGACGUUCUAUAGUAUGAAUGUAAUUGCCUAUUAGAUUCCAUAAGAUUCUUCUCAUAAAGUUUCCUCAGGUGCUAGUGGGACUGGAAAGUACUUCACCAUCUUCCUGUGAAAAGAGUACAGCAUCCUGAUUCUUUCCAAAUACAAAAUGUCAUUUCUAAUCCUGUGAACCAUCAACCAGCCAUGCUUUGAUGGGAAGAACUUUGAGAUUUGGGUGAAGGAUCUUCCCACCUUCCAAAGAGAGAUGAGGAGCAGUCUGAAGAGUGACUGGUGAGUAAAUGGCCAGCUGUAUCAGGUAAGGAAACCAUGUUUGUCCGGGCCAGGUGAGAACUAUUAGAAGAACUCUGGCUUUGUCCCUUUAUAUUUUGAGUAGAACUUUGGAUAUAUUAGAGAAGUCUGGGGGAAAGCGCACAGUAUAUCUGACAACCACUGAAAGUGAAAGGCAUCUUCCACAGAUCAGUGAGACCCUGACCACCUCUGGAGCAGAACUGGGUGCAUUUCUUU